UACGUAGGGGGCAAGCGUUAUCCGGAUUUACUGGGUGUAAAGGGCGUGUAGCCGGGCUGACAAGUCAGAUGUGAAAUCCGGGGGCUCAACCCCCGAACUGCAUUUGAAACUGUUGGUCUUGAGUAUCGGAGAGGCAGGCGGAAUUCCUAGUGUAGCGGUGAAAUGCGUAGAUAUUAGGAGGAACACCAGUGGCGAAGGCGGCCUACUGGACGGUGACUGACGCUGAGGCUCGAAAGCGUGGGGAGCAAACAGG
rnacentral:rRNA from 1 species